AUGCAGUGCUGGCAUGUCCCCAGCCACAGUGGCCACACAUUGGAGCAGGACAGGGUUCUGUGCAGAGGGACCAUGAGCACAUCAUCCCUGCCCUCACCCCAAAUCCCUGGUGUCCCCUAUCCCCUCCUUGGGGCUCCCCAAAGGUCCCCCAGCCCCUGCUCCCAUCCCUCUCCAUGGAGGAGUCACAGCUUUUCCCUUUGCUGGGGUCACAGCACAAACACAGAGUCACCCCCACAUCCCUCUCUGGAUGACCCCAGCAGCACCCAGAGACACUCCCAGCUCUCAGGGAUGCAGGGCUGGGCACAACAGAACACAUCACUCAGGCAGGAGAAGGAUGCAGCCAUUGUCCCCCUCCACACCCACCCCUGCCCUCACCCCCAAAUCCCUGGUGUCCCCUCUUUGGGGCUCCCCAAAGGCCCCCCAGCUCCUGCUCCUAUCCCUUUCCAUGGAGGAAUCACAGCUUUUCCCUUGGCUGGGGGAAAAUUCACUCUCAGGGAUGCAGGGACAGGGCACUGCAGGACACAUCACUGCUGGCUUCAGCAGGCAGGAGAAGGAGGCACCCAGUGUCCCCUCCACACCCAGGGUGUCACCAAACAGGGACUGAGCACGUUCAGGCUUGCUCAGUGCCACCCAGUGAGCGUGCCUGCAGGGCUGAAGGGAGCAGGGACACAGGGGAUGGCAUGGGGAGAGGGGGGAAACCCUUCUACUUUGCCUCCCCCCUGUUUUUGUCGGUCCUACACAAACACGGGCAGAGCAGCACAAGGGCAGGGGGAUGAUGCACAAACAGCAGGCAGAGCUCACUGCCCUGCCCAGAGCUGCAGGCUGGGGAUGCCACCAAGGGCUGGGGGGCGCGGUGGGGGCAGCCCAGGGGCUCAGAUGUUCUGGCAGCACGGUGCCUGCCUGCCCUCCUGCUGCGUGGGCAGCACCUGGAUGGGCUCGAUGGAGGUGGAGGGGCCAAACUCGGACUCUGGCUGUCCUGUGAUCUGCCUCUGCGACACGAUGUGGUAGAUCUCUGCCAGAGAGAGAGGGGAAGGGAAAAUGUUCUUUAAAUAAGUAUUUCAGUGGGGGAUCUGCUCCCUCCUGUCACAGACAUCUUUUCAUUAAAAAUCCUUUCUUUAGGAUUUUUCCUCCUGAGAAGCUGAGAGGCCUCAGGAACAAAAUGUAAACAAUGAUUAUCUGCUGCUGUGGGAUGCAACAGGUGCAUCUGUGAUUAGCCCAUUUUAAUUGUUUCUAAUUAAUGGCCAAUCACAUUGAGCUGGCUCAGACAGACCAUCCAAGCCACAACCCUUUGUUAUCAUUCUUUCUUUUUCUAUUCUUAGCCAGCCUUCUGAUGAAAUCCUUUCUUCUAUUCUUUUAGUAUAGUUUUAAUAUAAAAUAUAUCAUAAAAUAAUAAAUCAAGGCUUCUGAAACA
ensembl:lncRNA